CAACAGAUUUAUGUGAAGAUCUGGGUCUCAAUCUCCAACCACCGCGAAAUCUGAGCCCUUUAAAUUUUUAUGUGUGAAACUGCGUGCCUUUAUUUCUUUUGCAAAAUAUCUGAUACAAACUCUAGAAUCUCGGUAGCUUUCUGAAGGACUACUCUCUUAAUAGAUCCAUUCAUCUUCUCAGCAAUUUUAGAGAUUGCUCAAGAGCAUGCAUCACUUGCUUACUCAGAGGUGACUUCAAAUGUGGAGUUGCAGAUUCAAGAUGAGCAGUGGCAAAAGCAAGUGCCUCUUCCAAAAUAUCCUCUCCAUGAAUCCUUACAUGUGAAGCUUCGUAUAAGCUCAAUAGACCCUUUGCAUCAUUACUAAGACUAAGAGACUCCUUGAAUUUUCCGUUUGCGUCUUGGAAUCUGCUGAAAAUUUCUGGAUCAUGAAUAAAAACAAAAGAUUAGUUUUCAUGCAGCAAAAGUUGAAAAAUUGGUGUAAGAAUAUAUAAUGGACCUACUUGGGGAGAUAUUGUAACCAUGUUGUCUCAACAUUCGAAAUUGAAGGGCACAAGUGUACAAAUCAUUGUACUCAUGACCUUCAAAGUUUGGAUCUUCUUUAUAAAUCUCAUCCAACAUGUCUUCUA